AACCGGCAGGCCGAUAAUAGAUAUGCCCAGCACCCAGAUCAACCCGAUAAAUUUGCUGUUAUGAAAAAAGCUUUGGAUAAAUAAAUCAUUGGCGUCGGCC
rnacentral:antisense_RNA from 1 species